GCCUUCGUAGUGUAGUGGUUAACGAGCUCGACUCGCAUUCGAGAGGUCCGUGGUUCGAGUCCCGGCGAAGGCG